ensembl:ncRNA K10D6.24 ncRNA
UGAAAUUCGAUUUGUCAAGCCCGGUGGGGCACCGCCUGUAAAGAAUUUGGUGGGUUCAGCGGCCCAAAAAGGGGUGAGAGAAGGUUGCUUUGGAACUAUUUAGGUGGGAUAAUCAAAUUAGCACGC